rnacentral:rRNA from 1 species
UACGUAGGGUGCGAGCGUUAAUCGGAAUUACUGGGCGUAAAGCGUGCGCAGGCGGUCUGUUAAGACCGAUGUGAAAUCCCCCGGGCUCAACCUGGGAAUUGCAUCUGUGACUGCAUAGCUAGAGUACGGUAGAGGGGGAUGGAAUUCCGCGUGUAGCAGUGAAAUGCGUAGAUAUGCGGAGGAACACCGAUGGCGAAGGCAAUCCCCUGGACCUGUACUGACGCUCAUGCACGAAAGCGUGGGGAGCAAACAGG